UAUUUUGUUGCAUCUGGAUUCUUACCCUUGGAAGGAUUGUGACUUUAGCACUUACACAUCACUAUGAACACCCUGCUGUGAAAACAAACAUUAUUUAGAUUGUAUUUCCUCUAUUCAUAGGAUUGCUAUCUGAUAGCCAAUUGAUAUAUUAUCUAAAUGAUGUCCUUGUGUACCUUCCAAGCUUAUCCAACAUUUGCUCUCUACUAUAGAGGGAUCAUGCUAAUAAAUUAGCUGCCUCUAGUUGAUGAGAUAGCAAUUAUUAUUCUUUAUUUUACUCUGCUGAAACUGGGAACCUAUGCCUUUGAUAUGCACUCUGUUUGGAUAAUUGCAUUGAGGAAAUUGUAAACUAAUAAAUAGGACUUCAAAGAGUUUGGGCAAACUAAGUUCAUGCAUAGAUGAUGUGCAAUUUUUACUUCAAAUAUUUGUAGUCUAAAGCGUGACCUUUUUAUUUGUUCUUCAAUGUGUAUUGCAUGAUCAAGUGGAAGAUGAAAGCAGAAUUUAUUUAUUUUUAAUUCUUCCUUUAUCAUUCUUCAGUAAUGAUUGCCAAUUUAUGGGUCUUUUAUUGCAUGAAAAUUUUGGAUGGAAUUUACUGCUUUUUCACAUCAAGAACCCAUGUUUUAACAUCUGCUCGACGAUCAUUCAGAUUGCUGACUCAUGGGAAUCCCUGGAUGGAUGGCUGGAUGCAAUCCGUC
rnacentral:misc_RNA from 1 species